rnacentral:rRNA from 1 species
GAGUUUGAUCAUGGCUCAGGAUGAACGCUAGCGGCAGGCUUAAUACAUGCAAGUCGUGGGGCAGCACAGUAUAGCAAUAUAUGGGUGGCGACCGGCAAACGGGUGCGUAACACGUACGCAACUUUCCUUCAGGCGGGGAAUAGCCCAGAGAAAUUUGGAUUAAUACCCCAUAAGAUUUUGAGAUGGCAUCAUCUUAUUAUUAAAGAUUUAUCACCUGGAGAUGGGCGUGCGGCUGAUUAGGUAGUUGGCGGGGUAACGGCCACCAAGCCUUCGAUCAGUAGCUGAUGUGAGAGCAUGAUCAGCCACACGGGCACUGAGACACGGGCCCGACUCCUACGGGAGGCAGCAGUAAGGAUAUUGGCAAUGGGCGCAAGCCUGAACCAGCCAUGCCGCGUGGAGGAUGACGGUCCUCUGGAUUGUAAACUUCUUUUAUCUGGGACGAAAAAGGGGAUUCUUCCUCACUUGACGGUACCAGAUGAAUAAGCACCGGCUAACUCCGUGCCA